ncrna:Nicotiana tabacum cultivar TN90 Ntab-TN90_scaffold31, whole genome shotgun sequence
UGGACAGAUUACUGUAUUCGACUGCACUCACGGCUUGAAACAGGGGAUUACACUGUUUUAAAACGGAAAGUGUAUCAAUUAACAUAAAAGAUUACU